ensembl:lncRNA
CAACCUAUGCACAGCAGGGGAGAAGGCAGUGGCGCCCACUCCAGCACUCUUGCCUGGAAAAUCCCAGGGACGGAGGAGUCUGGUGGGCUGCAGUCCAGGAGGUCGCACAGGGUUGGACACGACUGAGCGACUUAGCAGGAGCAGCAGCAUGCACACUCAGAUCACUCCAGCGAUGGCUCCUGGGAGCCCUUUCAGUCGGUUCUUGCGAUUCCUUUGAUACGCCCCCAUCAUCUUGCUUCCCGGGUGGCUCAGCAGUUGAGAAUCUGCUUGCCAGUGCAGAAGACUCACGUUUGAUCCCUGGGUCGGGAAGAUCCCCUGGAGAAGGAAAUGGCUACCCGCUCCAGUAUUCUUGCCUGGAGAACCCCAUGGAUAAAGGAGCCUGGUGGGCCGCAAUCCAUGGGGCCGCCAAAGAGCUGGACACAGCUGAGUGACUAAAGAACAAUAAAGUGUGUAUACGCUAAUCCCAAGCUCCUAGUUUAACAGGUUCUGUAAAACUCUCUAUAACCUGGCCUGCACCGACCUCUCUGAUCUUAUCAGCUGUCUUCCCUCCCAUUCCCCUCAGCUCACUGAACUUUACAUUCUCAGAGCUCAU